rnacentral:pre_miRNA from 1 species
UAGUCGUAUAUGAGUGUUGGAGGGUAUUAAACAAAUCGGCAUCAUAUUAGUGACUACAAUUUGUUUGGUUUCCUCCAACAUCUCAUCUCCGACUC